UCAAAAUCGACCCCGAAGUCCAUCCAGCAGUGACCUCUCUGUGCCUGAGCAGCAGCAGCCUCCAGCACCAAGGAAUGAACUAGGCUUACCAGCAAGGUCAUCCUGGGUACAACAUGAUAGGCAGUGCUCUUCACCAAGAGGAAGUGUGGCCAUCCCUUUAGUGACCUCACCUACCCGAACAUUUCCCCGGUGGCUGGAUGAAGAGUACAAGCCCUCUGCUCCCAGUGUCUCCUGUCUGCAUGCGUCAGCAGCUCUCCCCAACUCUCUAGCCAGCAUGACCAGCAGAGUGAGCCGUCUGGAGGUCUUGAAGUCUACAGCCACAUCCCUCUCCAACCGAAU
ensembl:lncRNA